UCUAAAUCUUUUUUUAAUAAAAUAAGAAUGAAAUUUAGAUUAUUUUGUGAUUUAAUUUGUUUGUUAAUUUUUUUUCUAGUUAGAUCUGAGAAUUUUUUAUAGUAAUAACUUGUUGAAAUUUGCGAUGGCUAAUGGACCAGAAAGCAAUAUUCCGAUGGAAAAGGUGUGUGACAUUAUCUCAAACCUUACUUUCUGAUAUUUGAUGAUUAACAUUUUCUUUUAUUUUAUGAAAUUCGCUAAUCAUAUUCUUAUUUUUCACCUUAAUUUUUAGGAUAGUAAUCUAUAACUCUAUAUGAAGGCACAAUAUUUUUUGUCACGUGGCAUAUUGUCCUUCAUCCUCAUAUAUCCCCAUUCUCCACUUUAAAUCCAACCACUCUUUUCUAAACCAAACCGAUCUUCUAGCAUUUGAACCGAACCAAUAAUCUUUGAAUCUCGAACAAAACCGCCGUCUUUUUAAAAUUGAACCGCAUAUGUGAACCAAACCACUUCUCUCUCCUCUCUCACUUGCCUCUCUUUGAAUCUCGAACCGAACCGCCGCCUUUUUUAAAACUGAACCACAUAUGUGAACCAAACCAUUUCUCUCUCCUCUCUCACUUGCUUCUUUCUUGAACUGAACCGCACUCUGUUAGCACUUGAACCGGACCACUCACUCUAUCUUUGAACUUCUGAACCGAACCAAAACAAACCGCUUUUUCUGCUUCCGGUUUUCAUACGGCGAGCGUUUCCUCAUCCCUCUUUCUCCGCGUCGUUCCGCCUCCCCUAUCCGAUGCCACAUUGUUCCUCCUCCCUUCUCGGUUGCAACGUUUCAUCAUUAUCAUCUCAACAUUAUCAUCCUCAUCUUCAUACGCCCUUAGCAGGUUUUCCUUUUGAAUGGUGAUUCUGAGCAGUUAUUUGUUUCAAAUGAUCAUAUCGGUGAGUUCAAUUCAUACAUUUCACUACAAAAAAAAAAACACUUGAAUUUUUAUUUUUCAAAGUAUCUUAUGGUUGUUUAGUUUCGUAAUGAUUUGAUAAUAAUUGAUUCAAAGAGCGCGUCAGAAGAAAUUAUUUGAAGUCAUCUUUCGUGCUUCUUUGAAACCUAGGAAUUAUUUGAAGUCAUCUUUUGCAACGGCAGAUGGCAACGGCAGAUGGCAUAUAUAUUUUUUGUUUCUUCCUUAUGGCUCUUUUUUUUUGACACAAUUGGAGCUAUUGUUGAAUAGAUUUAGCAUAUUGUUCAUUAAUUAAAAAAAAAUAUUGAUCAAGAUCUGAAAAUCAAAUACUUUUGCCCUUUUUUUCUACAUUCAUAUAUAUGUCUAGCACUUCAUAUUUUUAUAAAACGUGGUGAUGAACACAAUAGUGUUCAAUUGAAUAGAGCAGUUCAUGGAUUAUUUUUCACCUUUGAGGUAAAUCAAGUCUGAACCUAUUUUUUUAGAGUAUCAUACAUAUUACAAGCUUCUCUCUUAAUUUUACCUAUUUUUUAAUACAUUUAUAUAUGUUAGGCACUUUAUAUUUUUCCCUUCACUUUAAAGAAGAUUAGUAAAAAAAAAAAAAAAAAAAUCUGACUUUCGACUAAUUAAGGACUAAUUUUGAACCUCUUCAAUUCAUUUAGUAUCAAUUUUUUAUGUUCUCUUUUUUACUGUUUUACAUGUAACUGAUAGGGUAUAUAACACUCUUAUUUUAACUCUAUCAAUGUAACUUUUGGUGAGUUCCUCUUUGUUAUGUCU
rnacentral:lncRNA from 1 species